GAUGAACGCUGGCGGCGUGCCUAAUACAUGCAAGUCGAGCGAACGGACGAGGAGCUUGCUUCUCUGAUGUUAGCGGCGGACGGGUGAGUAACACGUGGAUAACCUACCUAUAAGACUGGGAUAACUUCGGGAAACCGGAGCUAAUACCGGAUGAUAUUUUGAACCGCAUGGUUCAAAAGUGAAAGACGGUCUUGCUGUCACUUAUAGAUGGAUCCGCGCUGCAUUAGCUAGUUGGUAAGGUGACGGCUUACCAAGGCAACGAUGCAUAGCCGACCUGAGAGGGUGAUCGGCAACACUGGAACUGAGACACGGUCCAGACUCCUACGGGAGGCAGCAGUAGGGAAUCUUCCGCAAUGGGCGAAAGCCUGACGGAGCAACGCCGCGUGAGUGAUGAAGGUCUUCGGAUCGUAAAACUCUGUUAUUAGGGAAGAACAUAUGUGUAAGUAACUGUGCACAUCUUGACGGUACCUAAUCAGAAAGCCACGGCUAACUACGUG
rnacentral:rRNA from 1 species